CUACGGGGUGCACCAGUGAGGAAUAUUGCACAAUGGGGGGAACGAUGAGGCAGCAACGCCGCGUGGAGGAGGACGCAUUUCGGUGUGUAAACUCCUUUUAUAGGUGGAGAAAAUGACGGUAGCAUAUGAAUAAGCACCGGCUAACUCCGUGCCAGCAGCCGCGGUAAUACGGAGGGUGCAAGCGUUACUCGGAAUCACUGGGCGUAAAGGACGCGUAGGCGGGUUGGAAAGUCAGGUGUGAAAUCCUACAGCUUAACUGUAGAACUGCACUUGAAACUUCUAAUCUAGAGUAUGGGAGGGGGAGAUGGAAUUAGUGGUGUAGGGGUAAAAUCCGUAGAUAUCACUAGGAAUACCUAAAGCGAAGGCGAUCUCCUGGAACAUUACUGACGCUAAGGCGUGAAAGCGUGGGGAGCAAACAGGAUUAGAUACCCCUGUAGUC
rnacentral:rRNA from 1 species